UGUGAGGUGUGCAUUGGAUUGAUCCAG
rnacentral:piRNA from 1 species